rnacentral:rRNA from 1 species
GUUGUAUAGUCAAGUAAUUAAGUGCAUGUGGUGGAUGCCUUGGCAGUCAGAGGCGAUGAAAGACGUGAUAGCCUGCGAAAAGCUCCGGGGAGGCGGCAAAUAUCCUUUGAUCCGGAGAUGUCUGAAUGGGGGAACCCACCUACUUUAAGGUAGGUAUUGCAACAUGAAUACAUAGUGUUGCAAGGCGAACGAGGGGAAGUGAAACAUCUCAGUACCCUUAGGAAAAGAAAUCAAUUGAGAUUCCCUCAGUAGCGGCGAGCGAACGGGGAUCAGCCCAUUAAGUUAUGUGUGUUUUAGUGGAACGCUCUGGGAAGUGCGAACGUAGAGGGUGAUAUUCCCGUACACGAAAGGGCACACAUAAUGAUGACGAGUAGGGCGAGGCACGUGAAACCUUGUCUGAAUAUGGGGGGACCAUCCUCCAAGGCUAAAUACUCCUGACUGACCGAUAGUGAACCAGUACCGUGAGGGAAAGGCGAAAAGAACCCCUGUGAGGGGAGUGAAAUAGAUCCUGAAACCGCAUGCAUACAAGCAGUGGGAGCACCUUCGUGGUGUGACUGCGUACCUUUUGUAUAAUGGGUCAGCGACUUAUAUUCAGUAGCAAGGUUAACCGUAUAGGGGAGCCGUAGAGAAAUCGAGUCUUAAUAGGGCGUUUAGUUGCUGGGUAUAGACCCGAAACCAGGCGAUCUAUCCAUGAGCAGGUUGAAGGUUGGGUAACACUAACUGGAGGACCGAACCCACUGUCGUUGAAAAGCCAGGGGAUGACUUGUGGAUAGGGGUGAAAGGCUAAUCAAGCCUGGUGAUAGCUGGUUCUCCCCGAAAGCUAUUUAGGUAGCGCCUCGGACGAAUACCAUAGGGGGUAGAGCACUGUUUCGGCUAGGGGGUCAUCCCGACUUACCAAACCGAUGCAAACUCCGAAUACCUAUGAGUACUAUCCGGGAGACAGACUGCGGGUGCUAACGUCCGUAGUCAAGAGGAAAACAAUCCAGACCGCCAGCUAAGGCCCCAAAAUCAUAGUUAAGUGGGAAACGAUGUGGGAAGGCAUAGACAGCUAGGAGGUUGGCUUAGAAGCAGCCACCCUUUAAAGAAAGCGUAAUAGCUCACUAGUCGAGUCGGCCUGCGCGGAAGAUGUAACGGGGCUAAAACUAUGUGCCGAAGCUGCGGAUNNNNNNNNNNAUGCUGGAGGUAUCAGAAGUGCGAAUGCUGACGUGAGUAACGACAAAACGGGUGAAAAACCCGUUCGCCGAAAGACCAAGGGUUCCAGUCCAACGUUAAUCGGGGCUGGGUGAGUCGACCCCUAAGGCGAGGCCGAAAGGCGUAGUCGAUGGGAAAAUGGUUAAUAUUCCAUUACUUCUGUGUAAUGCGAUGAGAGGACGGAGAAGGCUAAAUCAGCCUGGCGUUGGUUGUCCAGGUGAAAGGAUGUAGGCAUGUAUCUUAGGCAAAUCCGGGGUACUCUAUGCUGAGAUCUGAUAGCAAGCUGUACUUGUACAGCGAAGUGGUUGAUGCCAUGCUUCCAGGAAAAGUCUCUAAGCUUCAGUUACACAGGAAUCGUACCCGAAACCGACACAGGUGGUCAGGUCGAGUAGACCAAGGCGCUUGAGAGAACUCUGCUGAAGGAACUAGGCAAAAUGGUACCGUAACUUCGGGAGAAGGUACGCUGUUGUUGGUGAUGGAACUCGCUUCCUGAGCUGACGACAGCCGCAGAAACCAGGCCGCUGCAACUGUUUAUUAAAAACAUAGCACUCUGCAAACACGAAAGUGGACGUAUAGGGUGUGAUGCCUGCCCGGUGCUGGAAGGUUAAUUGAUGGGGUUAGCGUAAGCGAAGCUCUUGAUCGAAGCCCCAGUAAACGGCGGCCGUAACUAUAACGGUCCUAAGGUAGCGAAAUUCCUUGUCGGGUAAGUUCCGACCUGCACGAAUGGCAUAAUGAUGGCGGCGCUGUCUCCAGCAGAGGCUCAGUGAAAUCGAAAUCGCUGUGAAGAUGCAGUGUACCCGCGGCUAGACGGAAAGACCCCGUGAACCUUUACUGCAGCUUGACACUGAACUUUGACCUUACUUGUGUAGGAUAGGUGGGAGGCUUUGAAGCUGGAACGCUAGUUCCAGUGGAGCCGUCCUUGAAAUACCACCCUGGUAAUGUUGAGGUUCUAACUCUGUCCCGUGAUCCGGGACGAGGACCGUGUCUGGUGGGUAGUUUGACUGGGGCGGUCUCCUCCUAAAGAGUAACGGAGGAGUACGAAGGUGCGCUCAGCGUGGUCGGAAAUCACGCGUAGAGUAUAAAGGCAAAAGCGCGCUUAACUGCGAGACCCACAAGUCGAGCAGGUACGAAAGUAGGUCUUAGUGAUCCGGUGGUUCUGUAUGGAAGGGCCAUCGCUCAACGGAUAAAAGGUACUCUGGGGAUAACAGGCUGAUACCGCCCAAGAGUUCAUAUCGACGGCGGUGUUUGGCACCUCGAUGUCGGCUCAUCUCAUCCUGGGGCUGAAGCAGGUCCCAAGGGUAUGGCUGUUCGCCAUUUAAAGAGGUACGCGAGCUGGGUUUAGAACGUCGUGAGACAGUUCGGUCCCUAUCUACCGUGGGCGCUGGAAAUUUGAGAGGAUCUGCUCCUAGUACGAGAGGACCAGAGUGGACGAACCUCUGGUGUACCGGUUGUGACGCCAGUCGCAUCGCCGGGUAGCUAUGUUCGGAAGGGAUAACCGCUGAAAGCAUCUAAGCGGGAAGCCUACCUCAAGAUAAGAUUUCCCUAGGACUUUAUGUCCUCUAAAGAGCCGUUCGAGACUAGGACGUUGAUAGGUUGGAUGUGGAAGCAUAGUGAUAUGUGAAGCUGACCAAUACUAAUUGCUCGUGAGGCUUGACUAUACAACACCCAAGCAGUUG